GAUGAACGCUGGCGGCGUGCCUAAUACAUGCAAGUCGAGCGAACAGACGAGGAGCUUGCUCCUCUGAUGUUAGCGGCGGACGGGUGAGUAACACGUGGAUAACCUACCUAUAAGACUGGGAUAACUUCGGGAAACCGGAGCUAAUACCGGAUAACAUGUUGAACCGCAUGGUUCAACAGUGAAAGACGGUCUUGCUGUCACUUAUAGAUGGGUCCGCGCCGCAUUAGCUAGUUGGUAAGGUAACGGCUUACCAAGGCAACGAUGCGUAGCCGACCUGAGAGGGUGAUCGGCCACACUGGAACUGAGACACGGUCCAGACUCCUACGGGAGGCAGCAGUAGGGAAUCUUCCGCAAUGGGCGAAAGCCUGACGGAGCAACGCCGCGUGAGUGAAGAAGGUCUUCGGAUCGUAAAACUCUGUUAUUAGGGAAGAACAAAUGUGUAAGUAACUAUGCACGUCUUGACGGUACCUAAUCAGAAAGCCACGGCUAACUACGUG
rnacentral:rRNA from 1 species